rnacentral:rRNA from 1 species
GACGAACGCUGGCGGCGCGCCUAACACAUGCAAGUCGAGGGAGAACCACCCUUCGGGGUGGGGAGACCGGCGAACGGGUGAGUAACACGUGAGGAAUCUGCCCUGUAGACCGGAAUAACCACGGGAAACUGUGGCUAAUGCCGGAUGUUCUCGCCGCUCCGCAUGGAGCAACGAGGAAAUGGUCAGCCGCUACAGGAUGACCUCGCGGCCUAUCAGCUUGUUGGUGGGGUAACGGCCCACCAAGGCUACGACGGGUAGCUGGCGUGAGAGCGCGAACAGCCACACUGGGACUGAGACACGGCCCAGACUCCUACGGGAGGCAGCAGUGGGGAAUCUUGCUCAAUGGGCGCAAGCCCGAAGCAGCGACGCCGUGUGCGGGAAGAAGGCCUUCGGGUUGUAAACCGCUUUCAGGAGGGAAGAAGCGAAAGUGACGGUACCUCCAGAAGAAGGACCGGCCAACUACGUGCCAGCCGCCGCAGUAACAC